UUGGAGGGCAAGUCUGGUGCCAGCAGCCGCGGUAAUUCCAGCUCCAAUAGCGUAUAUUAAAGUUGUUGUGGUUAAAAAGCUCGUAGUUGAACCUUGGGCCUGGCUGGCCGGUCCGCCUCACCGCGUGCACUGGUCCGGCCGGGCCUUUCCCUCUGCGGAACCCCAUGCCCUUCACUGGGUGUGGCGGGGAAACNGGACUUUACUUUGAAAAAACUUAGAGUGCUCAAGGCAGGCCUAUGCUCGAAUACAUUAGCAUGGAAUAAUAGAAUAGGA
rnacentral:rRNA from 1 species